UACGAAGGGUGCAAGCGUUGCUCGGAAUUAUUGGGCGUAAAGGGUUGGUAGGUGGUCUUGUUUGUCUAAGGUGAAAUCCCUUGGCUUAACUGUGGAAGUGCCUUAGAAACGGCAAGACUAGAGUCCUAGAGGGGUUUGUGGAAUUCCCGGUGUAGCGGUGAAAUGCGUAGAGAUCGGGAGGAACACCAGCGGCGAAGGCGGCAAACUGGAUAGGCACUGACACUCAACAACGAAAGCGUGGGGAGCAAACAGG
rnacentral:rRNA from 1 species